rnacentral:piRNA from 1 species
UGCAAUUUGCCUGGUAAAUUUCCUC